CGAGAACACUGCACGUUUCAGUCCUCGUUCUGUGUACGCCCCAUUUCUAGUUGGGUUAAUUAUCGUUCGUCCAUCCGCUUACUCUGCCCUUUCGGUUACCUUCCUCUUCUUCUCCUUCUCUUCCUACUCGCUACCUUCGCCGUUACGUUUCACUCCUCUUGUGCGCGAGCGAACCUCCUCAUGUGUGUGCGUUUCUGCGAUUGUUUACUAGCCAUCACAUAGUCCAGUGAAGCG
rnacentral:lncRNA from 1 species